rnacentral:rRNA from 1 species
GACAGCAGCAGCCACGGGAAUACGUAGGGUGCAAGCGUUAAUCGGAAUUACUGGGCGUAAAGCGUGCGCAGGCGGUUUGUUAAGACAGAUGUGAAAUCCCCGGGCUCAACCUGGGAACUGCAUUUGUGACUGGCAAGCUAGAGUCUGGCAGAGGGGGGUGGAAUUCCGCGUGUAGCAGUGAAAUGCGUAGAUAUGCGGAGGAACACCGAUGGCGAAGGCGGCCAUCUGGGACAACACUGACGCUGAGGCACGAAAGCGUGGGGAGCAAACAGGAUUAGAUACCCCCGUAGUCCCUGUCUCUUAUAC